GCGAAUGGCCAGUCCGGGAUGAACACCGGCGAAAGGGGAAAGCACCCUUGUUCGUGUUUUUAAAGAAUUCUAAUAUAAGAAGUCUUCACAUGUAAAACGUCAGGCACACCUGUGCAGCUGCAGCCCGUUACAACUGUGAUGUUUUGGGGUUAUAAUGGCUACUGUGCUGCUCAUACGGAAAUUUAUGGAAAUACUGAAAUUUCAGGGUGAGCAGUUAUGUAGCUCAAGCUUUCCCCAAGCUUAUCUGUCAAAAGAAUGACCAUUGCCUUUUUAUUUUGUACUUUAAUCCCUGGAGUUGGACAGGAAAACUUGAGCCUUUUUCCCACUACGUUCAGCUCUGGCUCAAAGUCCUCAUACUGAGUCUUGCCUUGGAGUCAGGAUCAACAAUAACUUCCUCCAGAUCAUCAGUUAAUUGUGGCCAAAGGUCUGCAGCUGUGGCAAGAACCAAAAUCCCUCCUGGGCAACACUUCUCAACAGGCCAAGAUGCAGCAGAGGGAAGAGGUUUAGUGGCACAUGGAACACACCAGAGCUUCAUAAACAUCAAGGCAGACACUUCACUAACAACUACAAAUCAGUUCUAAUGGUGAGCAAUAGAAUGUCUCCUUUACACAUAAACAUUUUCCUAUAAUUAUAUCUCCAUCCGUAAUUAAACAUUACCAAAAGAAACAGACACUGUUUCUCUUUGAAACAUCACCUGUUCAUUCCAUUUUAAAAGUUGUAGAUAAUUUUUUUUACUAUAAGGUUUCCAAGCUCCCGAGACACUUGUGAGUUUUCACUUCCAGCAAAGAAAUUUAACUUUUAACCCAUUCAAACAAUUUUAGCUGGAAACCCUUGAGUUUUAAGCAAAAAAAAUGGUUGUUUUGGCAGGACUGAGGGGUGUAUUUUCUGCAAGGAAUCCCAUCAGGAGAUUUACCCCUGUCAGUACAAGAACUCGAAACUGAUGUGAAGAAAUCCUUUGGUUUGUGUCUUUCAACACUUCUGCUGGUUUAUUCAAGUUCUUUCUCAAGUUGCUGCACUGAUGGGAAUUAGGAACCCUCUGAAGAAAAUCCUGCAAGGACUUGCAAGUGCCCGUUGCACAAACAGACUGAAAAUGCUCCAGUUACGUACUGAGGCACAACCAAGCCCAGGCACAGGAGCAUCUGGCUGCACAAGGCCCUAAACUGAACUCAAAAGCACUCAAAAGCCAAAGGAAUUGUGGCAUUCCCAAUGAAGGUGGAUCCAAAAGCACCAACACUUACUGGUUCACCCUGGCUGCCAAACAGGUAUCUCUUUCACAGGGCAUUUCAAGGCCUCUGACCAUUCCUAAAGACAACAAGGGGUGUGGUUUUCCAGUCACUGUUUGUUCCCAGCAUCAGAGGACACAGCCACAGUGACAGGCACAGAGAGGAGAAGCAGCCCUCCCAAAAUCAGGCAGCUGAUCAGAGGCAGGCUGUCUGGCUCUCCACGUAGACCUACUGGACUUCCACAAGCAAUUUUCGACUAAUUCUUGUUCCCUCCCCAGCAGGGAACUGCUCUGUGUCAGAUAUGGCUCAGACUCAGUGCUUCAGACUCCAGCAGGAAAAUCUUGGCUUAAUUUAAAGU
ensembl:lncRNA